rnacentral:rRNA from 1 species
AGAGUUUGAUCAUGGCUCAGAACGAACGCUGGCGGCGUGCCUAAAACAUGCAAGUCGAACGAUUAAAGCCCCUUCGGGGGUGUAUAAAGUGGCGAACGGGUGAGUAAUGCGUGGGUAAUCUGCCUCUAGGAAGGGGAUAACAGCUGGAAACGGCUGCUAAUACCAUAUAAUGUUGUGCAUCGACUGGGUGUGCAACCAAAGGCGGUUGAGGCUUGCAAGCCGUCGCCUAAAGAUGAACCCGCGUUCCAUUAGCUUGUUGGUGAGGUAACGGCUCACCAAGGCUGCGAUGGAUAGCCGGCCUGAGAGGGUGAUCGGCCACACUGGGACUGAGAUACGGCCCAGACUCCUACGGGAGGCAGCAGUUGGGAAUAUUGCGCAAUGGACGAAAGUCUGACGCAGCGACGCCGCGUGAGCGAUGAAGGCCUUCGGGUCGUAAAGCUCUGUUGUUGGGGACGAACCGGUGGGAUAGGAAAUGAUCCCACUCUGACGGUACCCAACGAGGAAGCCCCGGCUAACUCCGUGCCAGCAGCCGCGGUAAUACGGAGGGGGCGAGCGUUGUUCGGAAUCACUGGGCGUAAAGAGCGUGUAGGCGGUUGUGUGUGUCAGACGUGAAAGCUCACGGCUUAACCGUGGAAUUGCGUUUGAAACUGCAUAACUUGAGUACAGGAGAGGAGAGCGGAAUUUCCAGUGUAGCGGUGAAAUGCUCAAAUACUGGAAGGAACACCGGUGGCGAAGGCGGCUCUCUGGCCUGGUACUGACGCUGAGACGCGAAAGCUAGGGGAGCGAACAGGAUUAGAUACCCUGGUAGUCCUAGCCGUAAACGUUGGGCACUAGGUGUGGGAGGUGUCGACUCCUUCCGUGCCGCAGCUAACGCAUUAAGUGCCCCGCCUGGGGAGUACGGUCGCAAGACUGAAACUCAAAGGAAUUGACGGGGGCCCGCACAAGCGGUGGAGCAUGUUCUUUAAUUCGAAGCAACGCGAAGAGCCUUACCAGGGUCUGACAUGCAUUGGAAAUCCUUAUGGAAACAUUUGGGUGUUCUUAGAACGCCUUUGCACAGGUGUUGCAUGGCUGUCGUCAGCUCGUGUCGUGAGAUGUUGGGUUAAGUCCCGCAACGAGCGCAACCCUUGUUCUUAGUUGCCAUCAGGUUAAGCUGGGCACUCUAGGGAGACUGCCGCGGAUAACGUGGAGGAAGGUGGGGAUGACGUCAAGUCAUCAUGGCCUAUGGUCCUGGGCUAGAAACGUGCUACAAUGGCCGGUACAAAGGGUUGCGAUACCGCGAGGUGGAGCCAAUCCCAAAAAGCCGGUCUCAGUUCGGAUUGGAGUCUGCAACUCGACUCCAUGAAGUUGGAAUCGCUAGUAAUCGCGGAUCAGCAAUGCCGCGGUGAAUACGUUCCCGGGCCUUGUACACACCGCCCGUCACAUGACCCGAGUUGGGUGCACCCGAAGUCGCUGGCCUAACCCGCAAGGGAGGGAAGUGCCGAAGGUGUGCUUGAUAAGGGAGAUGAAGUCGUAACAAGGUA